rnacentral:misc_RNA from 1 species
GAACGGCGAUACGUAAUGCGAAUCGCAGGCUUCAAGCGAGUCAUCGAGUCUUUGAACGCACAUUGCACCCGCCGGCCAAUCCGGCGGGUCUGGCCGUCCGAGCGUCAUUUGCACCACUCGGCGUCGCGAGCAAUCCCCCCAGGCCUCCCGGGCCCGGGGGAGGGCCGGCGCCGGCGUUGGGAUGGCUGCGGCGCUGCCCGCACCCCCGAAAUUCAGUGGGGCACCACCCGCGAGUACCGGGGCGCAGUAGGCUCCACGCGGCAAACCACGCCAGGGAAAGCGCGGCGCGGGCCAACCCGGAGGCAAAAAGUCUAAUACAGGUGUGACCUCGGAUCGGGCAGGGAUACCCGCUGAACUUAA